AACAAAACACUUAACGGUGGUGUAUUUAAAUAUUCGGGUAAGCAAGUGCAUACAUUUGUAUGUGUCGAGCGUCUCUUUGAUAUUCCUGUAAACAUUUGAGGUAGUCAGAAAUCACAACACAAAAAAAUAUACAAUAAUUCGGAAAUCAGUCACGAAAAGAUCUUUCAGCUUUAAUGCAGAUAUCGACAUUUGUUUUGAUCAGCUUUCGGGGCAGCAGGUGGGUGUUUGGAAUGUGUUUACCAAAGUGAACGGAUGGAUGUGGGACGCAUAGCAAAUAAUUACAGCCACCUGCAGAGGAUACAACUCAUGAUUCACCAGACUCUGCCGAUAUUUACAAGCAAAUAAAUGUGUCUGACAUGUUGCAUAUGUGAUUUUAUUAAUUUGUAUACAAUUACGCCUACAGCUUAGAUUAUUUGACGUCAAAGUGCAAGUUCGACAUAAUAUAUACCGGUCAAUUGAAUUUUAUAUUUCUUAAUUAAUUUAAUCAAACUAAUGAAUUGUAAUUAAAUAAAGACUAAGAAAGAAA